rnacentral:lncRNA from 1 species
AGUAUUUUCAAUCCAUGGUUGGUUGAAUCCACGGAUGUGGAACCCAUGGAUAUGGAGCUGUCAUUAUUCUGUGAGUAGGGAGAACUUGUCUCACGGGUUCUUCUCAAUGCAUGCUCUCCUCUUUCAAAAUUUUCUAAACUCAUAUUUAUUUAUUUUUCAAAGUUUCUGGCUGCAGCUUGUGGAAGUUCCUGGGCUGACCUGGGUGAUGGACCAUGCCACAGCAGGGGCCAAAGCCACUACAGUGGCAAUGCAGGACACCUAAACCCCUUUUGGUUUAGUUUGGUUUUGGGUUUUUUGGUUGCUUUUUGUUGUUGUUGUUUUUCCCACCAAACUCAAAGUCCCUUAUGCUUUCUAUUUAGGUCAGGCUAAGCUAAUUGCUUUAAUGAUUCUGCAUCACCUAUAAAUGUUUUUUUCCAUUUGAACAGGAAUAGUAGGACCAUUCAACAGUACCUUUUCUAUGAAGAAGUAUGCUUUCUAGAGUGAGAAUAGGAGUUACCAUGAGAAAUAAACUGUCCAGAUUCAUGCGUUUGUACUACCAAUAUCCUUUCCUCUCCAAGUUCAAUGAUCAAAGGCACUGGAACCCUAGCACCCUCCCAUUUCCUCCCUUCCUCACUCACUCUCUCUGUGAAUGGUCCUAAUAGUGAAAAGAACAGAAACAAGCAAGCAGUACCUGGAGAAAUAAAUGCCAAAGAGGUAAGAAGGGCUCAUCUCCGAAUUCAUCAAUUAGGACAGAAGCACAUUCAUUAAUUAGGACAGAAUGGCCCUGAGAAGUAGUUUAGGAAUUAAGAGAAACACACAAAAGAAGAACAGAAAUAAGGCCAAACAUCUUUUAAAGUCCCUUAAAAAGAAUACAAAAUACAGGGGCCUUUAUGUCUAAGACUCCGAAUUACAGUAACUUUUAACUUAGAAUUUUUAACCUUGGAUCGCUCCUGUUUUUCAAUGCCCAGUUCUAGUACCUCCCUACCCCCUCAAGAAAUACUCAUUAGAAAAUAUUCUUGCUUUUAAUGACUACUUCAGGGUCAGAGGAAAAUGGCUAGAGACCAGACCCAUUUUUGGUGUCUCGGGUGAAGAAAGACCAUUUCCAGUUGGGAUUGUUCAGUGGUGGCAGCAAGGAACGAGCGGACAGUGAGGACCCCAAGGUCCCGAAAUAAUGGCUUUGGCAUUCCCAUGCCUCAGAGACUGAAGUACAGAGCUGCUCACAGUUGUUAUUCUCUGCCUUCUAGCUUUGCACUAGCUACAAAACCCAGCAUGAAACUGUUGCUCUCUUGUGAAGAUUACAGUAAUUUUCAUAAAAAAGACAAAAGUGAAAAAAAAAAAAUUCAUGGAAUCCAGAGGUUUACACAAGAAUAUCUGGAGAUCAACAGAAACAACCUACUUCACUAUAUGGAAGAGAAAAAAUGAGCCUCAGAGAUGGACAUCUUGCUCAAGACCAUACAGUGACAGAGGCUCAAGUCCAGAGAUACUUAUCCCUUUCUAGUCCAGAAUCAUUUUUAUUAUAUUACGGCAGUGAUUAUGAUAUGAGUGGGAAAGAGUGCUGGAGUUGGGUUCCAAAGAAAAGGACGAGAAUCCGGCCAAGCCUCGGGCAAGUCCCUUCCCCACUAGACCCUGUAUUUCCACUCUCCUGUGACAGGCACGAUGCUUGCUACGUGACUAGGUUAUUUUCUAAAGCAAUACUAUAUAUUUGUACAGUACAGACUGUGGAAUACAAAUAUCCAAGGUGAUCUAGCCAUCUGUGUGCUUCAGCAGCAAAGGAACCCAACAGGCCAGCCAAUGACCUAUCUCCUCAUAGAGCAAGAAGUCCAAAAAUGGGAGGGUGUCAGGAAUGGGAAAAUCAAGGCUCUUACACCAGUUGUUGUGAUUCUCUUGGCUCUUCACUCCUCCACAGCCGGCCUGUCCUUAGGGUUAUCAUCCCCUCAAAUUGCCAAAGACAGAAAAACCUCUUUUCCCACUGUGGAAUAAAAAUCCUUUCUUUCAGACUGAUUGGGCCAGAAAAUAUUUUGGACUUUAUCUUCUUCUUCGCUAGCUGAGCUGUUAAGACGACCUAAACAAGCAAUGUUGGAAAUAUUUAAGGGCCAUUAUGCUGGCUCCCACUACAGGCAUGUACACCCCAAGGCUGACAGUCUGAGUUCUUCAAAAUGUAGGGGGUCUUCCACUGUAAAUCAGCUAUACUUCAAUUCCAAAAAAAAAAAAAAUGUAGGGGGUCUUAUUGGUAUCUUGCUGAGUCUAUUUUCCCUAAAAACAUCCAUGAAUUGCUUAAUACCAUGUACUUCCAUGAGACACUCAAAAGCGAUUGAGGGUAUCUUAUCAGUGGGUUUCAGUCUGUGCAUCCUUCUACAAAAAUCCAUGAAACCCUCUCCUUUUGAGUUUCACGAAAUCCAUUUCUCUCUUAUUUCAGUCUGAGCACUGCAAUCCGGCUCUACAGGUAGCAAAUUGAAAUGUUUAGUGGCCCAUUGCAGACAGAUUGAAUCUGAAAAGAAUACGGCCAUAAGAAAGAAGCAAAGCAUCAAUAUCAUAUAGUAAAGCUCUCGCCAACGACAGUGAUGAUGUAGGUGAAUGAUUGAGCAUUUGUUAAACUUCUACCAUUGUGAAAAUAACCUAUUAUUUUCCUGGUUGUGCACUGAAAUGCCUCAAUCACCAAUAGAACAAGUCAGUAAAAAUGAUACAGUUUAUUUUCUAUCAUUGCUGUUCUAUGGGGACAGUGUGGCAU